UUUUCUUUUUUUUUUUUUAGGGCUGCACCUGUGGCAUAUGGAAAUUCCCGGGCUAGGGGUCGAAUUGGAGCUGUAGCCGUUGGCCUAUGUCACAGCCACAGCAACAUGGGAUCCAGGCCGUGUCUGCGACCCACACCACAGCUCACAGCGACAUAGAUCCUUAACCCACUGAACGAGGCCAGGGAUGGAACCCACGUCCUCGCAGAUGCUAGUCAGGUUCACGAACCGCUGAGCCAUGACGGGAACUUCUUUUUUGCAUUUUUAUGUUUGUAUUUUUAAAGGUACAUUUUUAAACAACACAUGUAUCACCCUCCCUCUCAAGUUCCCAGGGAAAAACAAAGUUAGAACUGUAAGAACUAAGUUAGAACUGUCAAACGAUACCAGUUCCACUAAGUUGUGUGUUUUGCGAAGCAGGAGGCACAGUUCUCUUUGUGUUUUGACCAUGUGAACACCCACUAACUCUUUCAUCAAAAGGAAGAAUAAAAAUCGGGCAUCACCCCCAUUUUUGAGCCACCCCAGGCCUAUGUCAUGACAGUUCUGAAUUUCAGGAUAAAAGAGUUGGUCCUUGAACUUCAGGAGUUUAUGCUCUGAAAUACAGAAAGAGGCUUUAUUGUAAUAAAGCCCAAGGCAAAUAGAUGAAAAACACCAGCCCACGAAUCCCCUUUAAGAAUGUCUUUAAAAUGAGUUCAUAGUUUUUGUCCAAGAAACCUUUAGGGAAGGCUCGUAGGCCUAUAAGGAUGCAUUUUCCUUUCUUUUCCUAUGAUGAUACAAACUAAAGGUUUUUUGUUUUUUGUUUUUUGUUUUUGUCUUUUUGCCAUUUCUUGGGCCACUCCCGUGGCAUAUGGAGGUUCCCAGGCGAGGGGUCCAAUCGGAGCUGUAGCCACCGGCCUACGCCAGAGCCACAGCAACACCAGAUCCCAGCCGCAUCUGCAACCUACACCACAGCUCACGGCAACGCUGGAUCAUUAACCCACUGAGCAAGGGCAGGGAUCGAACCCGCAACCUCAUGAUUCCUAGUCGGAUUCAUUAACCACUGCGCCACGACAGGAACUCCCAACACAAAGGUUUUAUUUUGAAAACUCUUCCAUAUUAAAAGAAAAACAAAACAAAAACAAAAAAACCCAAAAAACAGCAUAAAGGAAUGUUACUCUCCUUAAAAGAAAUCCUGUUACAACUUGCUUGUUUUUCACCUAACAGUGUAUCUUUUAUAUCUUAUCUUGUCAGUCCUUGGAAAUCUACCUUAUUAUUUUAAACUCUAGAGAGUGGCCUCAUCAUUCAGCAGUUCCAUGUCAUUCUGUAAUAGAGAUGUACCAUCAUUUAUUUAACUGGUUUCCUGCUAAUGGACUUUUGGGUUGGUUUCCAAUUUUUCUGAUUUAUGAUACUGCCGGGGUGAACAUCCUUGUACAUAUAUUUCUGUAAAAUAAAUUCCUGGAAGUAGGAUGGCUGGGCCCCAGGAUCAGCAUGUUUGUAAUUUUAAUAUAAGAUGGCCAAAUGGUCUUCCCACAAGGUUCUACGUGGAUGUUGGCUUUCCAGCAGGUCUGGGAGGUUUGGCUCCACAGCCCUUCCUGUGCCCUGCCAUUGUCUUGUAAGUGUUAGCCAAUCUGACCUGGUCAAAAAGGAUAGACUCUGAUUUUUUUUCUGUAAUUGGUAGUGAGAUGGAAUAUCUUUUUGCCACUUUUUUUUUUUUUGCAUUUCUUCUGCGAUUAUUUCUCUGUGUCGUUUGUACAGGGUUGUUUCUCUCUUUCUCUCUCUCGAGUGUUUUGUGAGAGUGCUUUCCUAUACAGAAAAAUCAGUUCUCUGUCUAAGUGAGCAGGGUGUCUUGCUCUGGGGUUUAGAGGCCUCUCGGUGAUCCGUUAAUAAGCUUCAGGAGGGCCGGCCACUUCCUUGAGAUUCUGUGCAAGCAGGUUGUGUGGGUGUGGGUGUGCGUGUACAUGCAUGUGCCACACAGGUGUGUUUUUCUAGGGCUGGGUCCGUUGCGUCCAUCAGCCUCCAGCAGGUCUGUGUGAAGGCCAAACGCACUGCAGCGGGAGUGCCUAUGAGCUGCUCAGUGUCCCACAGGGGGGCCAGGGCCUGACCAGGCAAGAAAGCUGAUGGUCACCCAAAGCAUUUGGUUAGCCGAGAUCUCUUUAGAGGAGCCUAGUGGCUUGUCCUCUAAGGUCCCCAUUGUUGGGUCUGGAGGAGAAGUCAGCAACCUGCUGCCCCCAGGCUGCAUCCAGAUCCUUGCAGGUUUCUGUAAACAAAGUUUUCCUGGCACAGAGCCGCUCCCUCUGGUUUCUCUUGCGCUGUGACAGCAGAGGGAAGGAGUUGUAGACCACAUGUCUGCAAACCUCAAGCAGUUACUCUCUAGCCUUUUACAGAAAGUCGGACAACCUUUGGUCUAGAGACACCUCGAAGCUGCUCCAUCACUAUUCCCUGUUGUUAGGCAGGGGCUGGCACCCCCCAUACCUGCCCCCAGCCGACCCCCCUUCUAGGCUGCCCUCGUGGCAUUUGAAAGUUCCCAGGCUAGGGGUUGAAUUGGAGCUGUAGCUGCCUAGGCCACAGUCACAGCCACGCCCGAUCCCCAACACACUGAGUGAGGCCAGUGAUGGAACCUGCGACCUCACGGAUCCUGGUCGGAUUCAUUUCCGCUGAACCACGAUGGGAACUCCUAAACACGUUGUGUGUCAUCUCUUUCCUUCUCUGCUGCCCCUGGCCCAAAGGACCUCUUUGGGUGUUCCUUUGUCCCAUGAGGCCUCAGAUAAGGGCUCGGGUGGCCGCUCCUUUCCAGAACAGACCCCAAAAUGGGCAUGCAAAGCAGGUCAGCGAGGGCAGGGCUGGAGCUCUUGCGCUGGCUGUGGCGUCUGCGGAGCAGCGCUGAAUCUCAUCCUGACACUGCCCAGGCCUUUAAAAAGCAGAACUGUCGGGAUCGGCUUGCGGAGAUGCCGAGCUAGCAGCACAAUGGCACUUUCUGUUUGUGUUUCCCACCCAUGUUCUAAUGUGGGGGACAAAGGAGCCUUCAGGGUCGCCUUUGGGAGCUUCCUAAAUCAACUCUCCAGAACAGCUCAGGGGCCGUGGAGAAUCACUGUGUGUGAUAACCUGGGAAUCUGGGGGGACUGUGUUGCCAGGGAAACCUUCAUUUGGGGACUUUCUGAGUCCCAAAGGGUUUUUUGUUGCAUGGGCUGUGAUAUAAAUAAGAAUGACCAGGGACUGAGCUGUUAUCCCUGUUGGUGGGGAGGGGGCUCCAAGUUGGCAGAAUGCCUCCCCCCCACAGGCCUGUAGGCCUCCGUGCAGAGACCGAAGGGUGUGUGCUUGUGGGUGAUGCUGUCCCCUAGCACGGAGGCUGGAUCCCCUGCCAGGUGGGCUGCCUGGUGGCUCCACCUGGCUUUCCCAGGUCCCUGCUGCCGAGGCCGUGGGCGAUGUGACCCCCUUGGAGGAGGAGGGCGCCGGGUGGUGCAGGGCGCACCCCGAGGUGCCUGGCCUCAGCCUCCCCCGCCCCGGACAUCUGGACAGCACCCGCUCUGGUCUGUUUGCUCAGUGCCUUGCAUUUGUACAGCUCUUUAACUCGCUUCAUCGGCUGGAGGAAAACACCGGCUGGCGGCCGAGGCAGCGUCUCGGGGCCGCCACCCGACUGUCCGGGGCCGGGGUUGCUGAGAGAUGGGAGCAGAUGCCGCCAACACUGUGAGCCUGUCUUUUCCACUUCAUUACUCCGAGCGCCGUCAGCGUGGGCGGCCCGGGGAGUCCUGAGCGAAAACCCUCCCGGAAGAGUGAUCAUAAAAUGUUGCCCGGCUCCUUAAUGAGAAAUUUUGCUGGGCUUUUCCUUGUGGACUCACCGAAGUCUUCACUUUGAACCCGAGCAAGAAACGAUCCCGUGGGUGCCGGGAUCUGUGUUUGCAGAGAACAGAUAACUGAGAGGCGGGGAGGGGAAGGAUUCGGGGUACAGCAGUGAGGCAGAUGCCCCCCAGGGGUGUGUGGGGGGGGGUUCAGCGUUUCUGCUCAGCUAACCCGUCUCUACAGCCAGGAGGGUCCCCUCAGCACGCCAGGCACCCCAGGUGCCAGGUGAGCAGGGCCCUCCCGUUGCCCGGAGCCGUUUCCACCUCUCGUUUCUGUUCUGUGCCUUGAGAACCCAAAGCUGUCGGUCACCUGAUCGCCAUCAGCCUGGGAAAAAUUCACCCACCAGAGAGUUCUGCCUGGCAGCGUUGUCCCGGCACGUGAUGCGUUCCGGGGUGGAUGGAACGUGUAGUGGGGGCGUUGGCAGGGCUGGACCUGGCCGGGAAGGUGAGUGAAGUGGCCGAGCGAGUAGAGUCCCUCCUCCCCACCCGUUCAGCGGUGAAGUGGAAAGGGGACCACAAGGACACACUUCUGACAGUGUGUGCUUGCAGCCACCCAGGUCUGGGGGGAUUGGAAAAUAACCCAGCUUUGCUGAGUCCACUUGUCCAUGCUGGUACCUGGAUCCGGGCCUGGACAGGUUGCGCAGAGACACCUAAGGACAAGGCUCAGCUCCGGGAGGGGCCUGGGGCCAGGAUGCCAGCCUGGACCUGGGAGGCACAUGGCCUCUCCCUGGGGGCCACGGGGUGCCCCCAGCUGGUGGGCUCAGGAAGUCACUGAUUCGGAAAGCCAGUACCAGGUGGCUGCACAGUGGCCCUUCUGUCCCUGCCCGCCAGCAAGCCCAAGGCCUGUCUGGGGGCCCCUGGGAGUAGAGACCUCUCGAAGAGGGUCAUCCUGGAGCCUAGGCGUCUGGUGGUUCUUGUCCAGUAGCUGUGCGCCGCGGCCAGCACUCCAGGGGAGGGGCCUCUGCAGCUGCUGUUUUCCCCUCGGGGAAGGUCACACAGCCUGUUUACAGUGCAGCUCAGGGGCUGAGAGAAUGAGUCACCACCGGCUCACGCGGGGAUGGCAUCCCCGUGUGAGCAGCGGGGCCAGCGCAGAGGGCGGGUUCUGCCCGGCCAAGCCCACUCCAGCCCCCAUCCUCCCGGAGGCAGCAGCCGCGGUGCUGAGAAGCGUCAGAGCCCGGGGAGGGGGCCCGGGCCCCCCACCUGCCAGUGCAGUUGUGAAACCCAGAGUCAGGAAGCCACCUCUGCUGAGUGUUUUCCUGGCAUCUGGCUGCAGCUCGGCUCCAGCUUCCCACUUGGCAGCAGACCUCGUCCUUCCCUCCCUGCGCGGCCCUCGGGCUGGCACUGGGGCGCUCUGCUCAGUCCUCAGCCGUGACUCCCUCCAUCCUCAGGACUUCUGAGUGGCCUUUAUGUGCAGCUGAGGUUGGGUGGAGGCAGAAGAGAGAGGGAGGGCGUGUGGGGGCCGGUGGGGGAGGAGACUCAGGCGGCAGGAUGAAACAGGAGAGGGGCCACAGCCAAAUCUCAGCGGCAACAAAUCCGACUAGGAACCAUGAGGUUGCGGGUUUGAUCCCUGGCCUCGCUCAGUGGGGUAAGGAUCUGGCGUUGCCGUGAGCUGGGGUGUAGGUCGCAGAUGUGGCUCGGAUCUGGUGUUGCUGUGGCUGUGGUGUAGGCUGGCAGCUACAGCUCCGAUUGGUCCCCUAGCCUGGGAACCUC
ensembl:lncRNA